UCCCUACGGGGCGCAGCAGUGGGGAAUAUUGCGCAAUGGGCGAAAGCCUGACGCAGCGACGCCGCGUGAGGGAUGAAGGUCUUCGGAUCGUAAACAUCUGUCAGCAGGGAAGAACGGUCACUGUGCUAAUCAGCAGUGAAUUGACGGUACCUGCAAAGGAAGCACCGGCUAACUCCGUGCCAGCAGCCGCGGGAAUACGGAGGGUGCGAGCGUUAGACGGAAUUACUGGGCGUAAAGAGCUCGUAGGCGGGAUGUCAAGUCAAGGGUGCAAUCCCCGCGCUCAACGAGGGAACUGCCUUUGAAAA
rnacentral:rRNA from 1 species